UCUGGGCCAUAGGCUCCAGUUGUGGAGAAGAUACAGUACAAAUAAAGAAAUGUCAGCUAGGGAUGAAUUAACUCCUGAGUUUAUUUGGCCUAAACUGGGGCGGAAAAGAAACCAAGAAUGUUGUUGAAUGCACUCCCAUUGAGGAAAUCUACAUAUUACUGCUCCAUUAGAAGAAGAGAAUGUGCAAGAAUUUUACCAAUCAAGAAAUGGAGGUCCUCUAUGAUGAGGUAACUAGAACUGCCAUAGCUAGAUGCUGGAGAUCGAGGGACAUACCGGAUAUUCCUGCAAUCAAAGCCAUGACUUGUCACAAUUUGGUUAUGGAGGGUCUUAUAGCUAAACGUUUGGGCCUCUCCAAACCACGUAUUGAUCAAUGGUUUGACUGGGAAAGACACUUCAAUCUGUGAAUUAGGAUUCUUUGUUUCCUAUGCCCUAUACAGAACUGGUUAAUGCUUAAUGUACUGACCA